UACGAAGGGGACUAGCGUUGUUCGGAAUCACUGGGCGUAAAGCGCACGUAGGCGGGUCUUUAAGUCAGGGGUGAAAUCCUGGAGCUCAACUCCAGAACUGCCUUUGAUACUGAGGAUCUUGAGUACGGGAGAGGUGAGUGGAACUGCGAGUGUAGAGGUGAAAUUCGUAGAUAUUCGCAAGAACACCAGUGGCGAAGGCGGCUCACUGGCCCGUAACUGACGCUGAGGCACGAAAGCGUGGGGAGCAAACAGG
rnacentral:rRNA from 1 species